AGAGUUUGAUCCUGGCUCAGAUUGAACGCUGGCGGCAGGCCUAACACAUGCAAGUCGAGCGGUAGAGAGAAGCUUGCUUCUCUUGAGAGCGGCGGACGGGUGAGUAAUGCCUAGGAAUCUGCCUGGUAGUGGGGGAUAACGUUCGGAAACGGACGCUAAUACCGCAUACGUCCUACGGGAGAAAGCAGGGGACCUUCGGGCCUUGCGCUAUCAGAUGAGCCUAGGUCGGAUUAGCUAGUUGGUGAGGUAAUGGCUCACCAAGGCGACGAUCCGUAACUGGUCUGAGAGGAUGAUCAGUCACACUGGAACUGAGACACGGUCCAGACUCCUACGGGAGGCAGCAGUGGGGAAUAUUGGACAAUGGGCGAAAGCCUGAUCCAGCCAUGCCGCGUGUGUGAAGAAGGUCUUCGGAUUGUAAAGCACUUUAAGUUGGGAGGAAGGGUUGUAGAUUAAUACUCUGCAAUUUUGACGUUACCCG
rnacentral:rRNA from 1 species